rnacentral:rRNA from 1 species
AGUGAACGCUGGCGGUAGGCCUAACACAUGCAAGUCGAACGGCAGCACAGUAAGAGCUUGCUCUUACGGGUGGCGAGUGGCGGACGGGUGAGGAAUACAUCGGAAUCUACUUUUUCGUGGGGGAUAACGUAGGGAAACUUACGCUAAUACCGCAUACGACCUACGGGUUAAAGCAGGGGAUCUUCGGACCUUGCGCGAUUGAAUGAGCCGAUGUCGGAUUAGCUAGUUGGCGGGGUAAAGGCCCACCAAGGCGACGAUCCGUAGCUGGUCUGAGAGGAUGAUCAGCCACACUGGAACUGAGACACGGUCCAGACUCCUACGGGAGGCAGCAGUGGGGAAUAUUGGACAAUGGGCGCAAGCCUGAUCCAGCCAUACCGCGUGAGUGAAGAAGGCCUUCGGGUUGUAAAGCCCUUUUGUUGGGAAAGAAAAGCAGCAGGUUAAUACCCCGCUGUUCUGACGGUACCCAAAGAAUAAGCACCGGCUAACUUCGUG